rnacentral:rRNA from 1 species
GACGAACGCUGGCGGCGUGCUUAACACAUGCAAGUCGAACGGAAAGGCCCUGCUUUUGUGGGGUGCUCGAGUGGCGAACGGGUGAGUAACACGUGAGUAACCUGCCCUUUACUUUGGGAUAACUUCAGGAAACUGGGGCUAAUACCGGAUAGGAGCUCCUGCUGCAUGGUGGGGGUUGGAAAGUUUCGGCGGUUGGGGAUGGACUCGCGGCUUAUCAGCUUGUUGGUGGGGUAGUGGCUUACCAAGGCUUUGACGGGUAGCCGGCCUGAGAGGGUGACCGGCCACAUUGGGACUGAGAUACGGCCCAGACUCGUACGGGAGGCAGCAGUGGGGAAUAUUGCACAAUGGGCGGAAGCCUGAUGCAGCAACGCCGCGUGCGGGAUGACGGCCUUCGGGUUGUAAACCGCUUUCGCCUGUGACGAAGCGUGAGUGACGGUAAUGGGUAAAGAAGCACCGGCUAACUACGUG